GAGGAGCUUGCUCCUUGGAUCAGUGGCGAACGGGUGAGUAACACGUGAGUAACCUGCCCCAAACUCUGGGAUAAGCACUGGAAACGGUGUCUAAUACCGGAUACGAGCUUCAGCCGCAUGGCUAGGAGUUGGAAAGAAUUUCGGUUUGGGAUGGACUCGCGGCCUAUCAGCUAGUUGGUGAGGUAAUGGCUCACCAAGGCGACGACGGGUAGCCGGCCUGAGAGGGUGACCGGCCACACUGGGACUGAGACACGGCCCAGACUCCUACGGGAGGCAGCAGUGGGGAAUAUUGCACAAUGGGCGCAAGCCUGAUGCAGCAACGCCGCGUGAGGGACGACGGCCUUCGGGUUGUAAACCUCUUUUAGUAGGGAAGAAGCGAAAGUGACGGUACCUGCAGAAAAAGCACCGGCUAACUACGUGCCAGCAGCCGCGGUAAUACGUAGGGUGCAAGCGUUGUCCGGAAUUAUUGGGCGUAAAGAGCUCGUAGGCGGUUUGUCGCGUCUGCUGUGAAAACCCGAGGCUCAACCUCGGGCCUGCAGUGGGUACGGGCAGACUAGAGUGCGGUAGGGGAGAUUGAAAUUCCUGGUGUAACUGUGUAACGCGCAGAUUUGAAGGGUCCCCCCCAGGGU
rnacentral:rRNA from 1 species